rnacentral:rRNA from 1 species
CUACGGGCGGCAGCAGUGGGGAAUAUUGCACAAUGGAGGAAACUCUGAUGCAGCAACGCCGCGUGGAGGAUGACACUUUUCGGAGCGUAAACUCCUUUUAUAUAGGAAGAAGAUGACGGUACUAUAUGAAUAAGCGCCGGCUAACUGCCGUGCCAGCAGCCGCGGUAAUACGGAGGGCGCAAGCGUUACUCGGAAUCACUGGGCGUAAAGAGCGUGUAGGCGGAUUAAAAAGUCAGAAGUGAAAUCCUAUAGCUGAACUAUAGAACUGCUUCUGAAACUCUUAAUCUAGAAUAUGGGAGAGGUAGAUGGAAUUUCUGGUGUAGGGGUAAAAUCCGUAGAGAUCAGAAGGAAUACCGAUUGCGAAGGCGAUCUACUAGAACAUUAUUGACGCUGAGACGCGAAAGCGUGGGGAGCAAACAGGAUUAGAUACCCUUGUAGUC